AUCAUCGUCUCAAAUGAGUCUU
rnacentral:piRNA from 1 species